ensembl:rRNA 5S_rRNA 5S ribosomal RNA
GUCCACAGCCAUACCACACAGAAAGCGGACCAAUCUUGUCUGAUCUCAGAAGCUAAGCAGGGUCAGGCCUGGUUAGUAUGCAGAUGGAAUAAUCCUUUGGCUAGGCCAGAGGAUGGUGGUAU